rnacentral:lncRNA from 1 species
GGUUGAUGGGUUAGAGGGAUAGGUUAUUGGGUCGAUAGGUUGUGGUAGGGCUGGGGUUCAAUUAGUGGCAGGCUUGGAGUUAGGUUGGGUUAGGGUUAAUAUUAGGUCCAGUUGGGGUUUAUAGCAGGAUUGAAUUAGGGGUCUGACCAAGGUGACGGGUGGGGUUGAGUUAGGAUUGGUUUAGGGUUAGGGUUAGAAUUAGGUUAGAGUUUAGUUGGGGUAAGGGUUAGAGAGGAAUUAGAGUUAGGGUUCAGUUAGGUUUAGGGUUCCUAGAAGGGUUAGCAAUAGGCUAUGGAUGUUUAGGGUUCAGCUGGUAUGCUAUAGAUGUUUGUUCAUCCUAUGGUGAUGAAGAGGGAGAAGCAAAAAGGCCAGACAUGUGGCUUGAGAGUAGGUGGGAUAGAGAUUUACCUUACCUA